UAGGGAAUCUUCGGCAAUGGGGGGCGAACCCUGACCGAGCAACGCCGCGCGAGUGAAGAAGGUCUUCGGAUCGUAAAACUCUGUUGUUAGAGAAGAACACGAGUGAGAGUAACUGUUCAUUCGAUGACGGUAUCUAACCAGCAAGUCACGGCUAACUACGUGCCAG
rnacentral:rRNA from 1 species